GACGAACGCUGGCGGCGUGCUUAACACAUGCAAGUCGAACGGAAAGGCCCUGCUUUUGUGGGGUGCUCGAGUGGCGAACGGGUGAGUAACACGUGAGUAACCUGCCCUUGACUUUGGGAUAACUUCAGGAAACUGGGGCUAAUACCGGAUAGGAGCUCCUGCUGCAUGGUGGGGGUUGGAAAGUUUCGGCGGUUGGGGAUGGACUCGCGGCUUAUCAGCUUGUUGGUGGGGUAGCGGCUUACCAAGGCUUUGACGGGUAGCCGGCCUGAGAGGGUGACCGGCCACAUUGGGACUGAGAUACGGCCCAGACUCCUACGGGAGGCAGCAGUGGGGAAUAUUGCACAAUGGGCGGAAGCCUGAUGCAGCAACGCCGCGUGCGGGAUGACGGCCUUCGGGUUGUAAACCACUUUCGCCUGUGACGAAGCGUGAGUGACGGUAAUGGGUAAAGAAGCACCGGCUAACUACGUG
rnacentral:rRNA from 1 species